UGGAAAAUAGCCAAAGUAGCUGAGAAAGCAAAAGCUACUAGGGUAGACCAAAUAUGUCUUCCUUUUACUUUACAUAGUUACUGGUAGCUAGUCCUAGUCACCUUCUCUGUUAUCUUUUCUGGGUUUUCAUCUUUUAUGAGCAGGUGCAUCCUUCACUACUUGGGAAAAAUAUGUAGACCUUGUUGUUUAUUUUCAUGGAAUCACAGAACCACAAAAUGGGAUUAGAAGGGACCUUAAAUAUCAGCUAUUUUCAACUAGACCAGACAUUCUGAGGAAUGCCAUCCACUAGACCAGGUUGCUCAAAGCCCCAUACAACCUGGCCUUGAACCAGGUUGGGGGCAUCCACAACUGAAUCCAGGGCUGGGGCAUCCACAACUUCUCCAGGCAAUCUUUUCCAGUGCUUCAUAAUCCUAUAGUAAAGAAUUGCUGCCUAAUCUAUUCUAAACCUACUCUCUUUAAAGCCAUUCCCCCUUGUCCUAUCCCUGCUCACCCUAGUCUAAAGUCCCACUCCCGCUCUCUUGUUGGCCCCCUUCAGUAACUGGAGGGCUGCUAUAAGGUCUCUCCAGCACUUCCUCUUCUCCAAGGCGAACAGCCCCAACUGUCUUAGCUGGUUUGCGUUGGAGAGGUGGCUCCAGUUCUCAUCUUCAUGCCCCUCCUCUGGACUCCAACAUGUCAACAUCCCUCUCAUUUUUCAUAACAUCUGUUAAGUUCUCCACACUUGCAAUAUUUAUUGGAAUUUAUUACUGGGAUUUAUUACUGGGAUUCCAGAGACUGAAAGACUGGAAAUGUGGGGAAAGGAAAGAGGGUAAUUGAGCAUCCUCACAAAGCCAUCUACAGCAUGGAGUCGGGGAUAUUGCCAGUAUCAGAUCUGGUCAGUCAGCGGAUGCCACAAGCCAGAGCCUAUCCAUAUCACUCCCCACUUAGCUGUGCAUCCAGCACUUGCUAAUUUUCUGGCUAUUCUUACUGGCUUAUCAACAGUGGGUUUUAGAAGUUUUGAUGCCUCAUUUCCUUUCAAAGGCAGUUUCUUUGCCUUCAAAGUACAGGAAUCAUUAAUUAAGCAUAGUGCCCUCUUAGACACCUUUGUCAUUAAUUAUGAAUGAGAGCAGUCAAAUAUUCUAUCCUCAUAAUAAUGCCAGGAUUAGAUUAAUAUCAACUCUGAACUCUAGGAUGCCCUCCAAAGUUCAGAAACAAAAGAGCAAGUAAAAAAAGAGAAGUUUUAAUGGAAAGGACAAUUUUCUCUGUUAGUUGGCCUAAGGUGGAUGAUGACAGGUUUUUCAGAGCUUCAUCUGUCUCAAAAUUUGCUCUCACACUGAAUAAGCUGCACCAGUUCAUAUGGGAGGAACACUGAAUAUUCAUUAAAUGAGUGUCUAUUUUGUGACUUCCUGGCUAAAUUUUUUGCUCCAUAGGUUUUCUUUUACCAGCAAACAAAGCAUCUGGUCACAAAUCUACAGAACUACAUUCAAGAAUAUGUAAUCUUGUUCUUUUAAUAUAAUGUAAAAUGUGGCUUAUCCAUAUCAAUAGACUUUCCAUGGAAAACUCUGAGUUUCAAUGAAAAAUCAAGUGGUUUUCCAUAGUUAUUUACAAGUAAAAAAAUAUAAAUAUUGAAAAUUACAGAAGCAAAUUAUAUUUCUCAGAAGUAGGUUGUGUCUUGCUGUGGAAGACUUCACUGUCCUGUCUCAGCCUUACUCUCUGCAGCAGGUCAGCAAUGCCAGAGAAAGAGAGACUGUAAGAGGAAGAGGGAGAGAGAAAAUCCCAGUGCAUUCUUGAUGUGCUAAUUCUGAUCUGUGUAACACUGCCUGCAUUAAGGGCACUAGAUGAACUGUCCUAUUAGCUUCAGUUAGAAAGCCUAAAAUGGUGGUUUUCAGGGUCAACUGAUUCACCUUGGUCAUAUUAAUAAACUAUUUUAAUAAAUAUGAAUUAUGUCUAUAACUCCCAGAUAAAAUAUAUAUUAAGAUGCUACAUGCAAUAACCUUAUCUCAGCUUUAUAGUGACAUGAGGUAAUAACCAUAUGGUUAUGAAAAAUACAUUUUAAAGUUUGAAACUCCAGAUUAGAUUUAGCUGGUUUUUAAUGGCAUAUUUUUUUAUUAUAUAGAUAAAUUUUUUCUCACUAGGUAUUACUUUUGGACCAAAUUAAGACUGUGUGGUGACUUUAAUCUCAGUCUUCUGAUUUUAAAAUUAUUAGAAUUCUUAUAAGGGUAAAUUAAGUUUAAUUUGGAAGCCUUGAAUCCUUACAAUGGAUGUAAUUGCAAAAUUCCUAUAAAGUUUUACUUCUUUAUAUUAUUGAUACAUUUCCUGCUUUAGGAUCCUUAUUCUCCCCCUACAGAAUUAAAAAGUAGUUGAGAAUGCAUGCUGGUAUAUGCUAUCCCUAGCUGGGUGAAAAUGCAGGUUAUUAGAAAUAGCUAUUUUUUAUUAUUACAGUUUGCUUCAAGAGCAGAUUGAAGGUGCAUCUGGCCAGUGGAAAGCAAGUAGGGUGCUCUGACCCACGAACUGUGCUGCUGAACCAGAGAGCAGGAAAGCCAGUGUGACCUGAAAUUUCAGGCUCUGUUUUCCCAUUUGAAGCUGAAGGCACGGACAACACAAGCCCUGGCCUUGCUGGACUCCCUUUCCACACACAUCCCUCCCUGCACUGCUGUAACCAGGGAGGGAUGCAGGGUGUCAGAGCCACACGGAGCCCGCACAGGGCGGGUGUGCUGAAUCCACCCCUCACCUGGGGGCUGGUGUGCUUUCUGCCAAGCACUCAGGUGAUGGUUCACCCUGCUUCUGCUUCUGAUAGCCCUGCUUAACUACUUGCUGAGACGUUGUUCUGAAUAUCUGUUGUCUGUACGAUUACUGCAAACACAAUAAUAUUUAUUAAGCUAAUUUGAUUGCCAUGUAGGCAGAAUUUAGACGAAAUUUCAAUCCAUUUUAACUCUGUAGACACAGAGAAAGACUCUAUUGCUUUACUCUUACCUACAGUCACAUAGAAAGGAUGAACACAGAUGCUAAAUUUCCUAGAGGAACCGGUGUGUAAUUAAUAAAAGUUAAUUAAUGAUAUCAGUUCUUUGCCCAAAAAAUAAAUGUUGCAAUUCUGUGAAAAAUAUGUAGUCUUGGUCAAAGAAAGAAAAUAUGUUCAGUACCUUAUUUAAAUACAGAAUUAAAUUCCUUAACUCAGGAGCUAUGGCAAGGCUCUUCAUAACUGCAAGGAAGAAAUUAAAUUAAUAUAUCAUUAACAUACUGCCAUGUAGAAAUAAGUCACUGUUUAAACUGUAUUGUACUUUGCAAUAGUAGAAGAACUGAGAGGAAUUUGAUCAAGCCAGCAGACACAUUGCUUGUGACAUUGUUGGAGUGUAUCUCAGAAUUUUUGCUCCAUGUAUAUGAUUUUUCAUAAUCUGUGUUUCAGGAUGCUUGGUUAGCAUAAAAGUUUUACAAAAUGUCCCAGUCCCUCUCAACCAUUGCUAAGUCAAAAUUCUCUGAGUUUUUGCCAGGUUCUGACAUAAAAAAAUAUUUGGUGCUUAUUCUUAUGACCACAGUAAGUCGUCAUCAUUUUCACCAGAGCACACAAUAAAGCUUAAGACACAGACAAAAAAGCAAACCUAAGUGGAUGAAAGAAGAGAGACCUGGUGUUACUCUGUUUCUCUACCACUGUCACCUGUAGUGCAGCAACUAAGAAAUUCAUGGCAGCCAGUUGGUAUCAAGCUUUUACAAUGGUUACAAGAGUAUCUAGACUGAAAUCAAAUCUGACUCAGACUUGAAUCGAAAUUCCAGACAAAGUGCAUAGAGUAGAGCAUAGAGUAGGAACAGUAGUGAAAGAGCUUGGAACUGAGAGCAAAGAGAAGCAAGGUACAGGGAAAUGAUGUGCAGAGUAAUGGACUGAAUUGCUUCUAUUUAUAUGGGAGAAGUCCGCCAAAUCCAUCACUGAAAAGAGAUUUAUAACUUUUUGUCAUAGAUAUCAACAUUCCUAAUUUCUACGAUUCAUUUUCUCCUGAGAUAGAAUAGUUUUAAAGACCAAAGAGAGAAGACAAAACCACUUUUCAGAAAUCUCUCUAAACGCAAACUCAGUUUUUAGUCUAGUUCCCAUAAUUUAGAUGAGUAUCAUUCUGCAUUAGGAACAUUUUGUAAGCUUCUUUUACCUUUUCAGACUGGUCCAGACUCAUAAUCAUUUUGUAGAUCAGUAAUUACUAAGAUAUAUUUGGCAAAAUUAUAGUAUAGGAAUAUUAUAUUUAUGCAUGCCUCUAAGAAAACAAAUUAAAAAUUGAUGCGUUACAGAUGUCAAGAAACAUUUGAAAUUGUAAUUAAUCCAGGCUGAGAUCUGAAUUAUUCUUGUGAAAUUUAUGGCGCCCAACAAACUAAUACUUUCUCAAUAUUAUCAUGAUAACAUUUAUAAUUAAGUUGCCAAAAUAUUACUCUUUUGCCUGUGUUACUGUAAUGAUGAUGUAAAAUACCUUCAUAAAAACUCAACAUCAUUUAUACAAGAAUUACCAAGGAUUAGGGGGUUAGAAAUGAUUAGACUAUAAAGUCUAAAAUGACUAGAGAUCAGUUCAUAGGAUAUUUUAACACAGCUUUUACUCUAGAGACAGCUGGUACCAGAACUGAAUCAUCAUUUUGAAGUAGAACAUAAAUCUAAGCAUAAACACUUUCUAAUUUCCAUAAGUAUCUAUGAUAUUUACUUAAACUGAUACGGUUAUAAGCUCUUUUGACAGUUGUAGGCUCUGAUUUCAUACAAGUAUCUAUAUAAAAAGUCAUGUGAUCUGCCAAUAUUAUAAGCACUUUGAAAGGCAUUUAUGUGAAACAUUCUAAUAAUGCAAGUAUUUAUACACAUCCUGUUGCACUGCUAGCAUAGUUUGCAGCUUUAAAAAUUGUUUGCUAAGUUGUCUUUUUCUAUAGUAGACAUGUUACCCUUCCUCCCUUCCUUCACUUUUAUUUAAGGUUGUUUUGCCAUAAUGCCUAAUUGAGUAAGUGACAGGCCUUUAUUUUCCUAUGUAUGACUUCAAUAGAACACAUUAAAGUGAGUAUAAUAUGCAGUGUGUGAUAUUGUUACGUUUAGCUGAUUUAUUUCUUCCUCAAAAUGCAGCGUCAAGUUUAUAGGCCUACCAAAAAUUCACAACUAUAUCAGCAGCCAAAAUUGUCUUUCCUCUUGCAUUUUGAGAUUUCACUCUUACAGAUUCCUACCACUUACUUGAAGGUAUCCAUGAGAAGUUUGUGACUUUAUGGGGAAGUCAUGAGUUUUCAUUAUGAUUCAAUCAGUGGAUACAGCUAAAAUAGUUUGGUGGGUAUGUAAGAAAAGACCAAAGAUAUCCAAGAUUAGCCACCUUGAGAAUGUCACACUCACCUUAUGUAAUGGACUCAUUUAUUACUGGAAACAUUCACAUACCUCUUUUUAUUUUGGUUAUACUUCUCAGUCUUUCUUCACUGUGUGUUUUCCAGACACUGUGUUGGAUUUUUUUCCAGAACAAAUGCACGCACACACAAGAUAGGUUUGAGUUCAUAAUAUUUUCCUACCACUGUCUUUUUGCAUAUUUAUCAGGCUUUUUUCUUAUCCUUUUAGUCACAAAUUUUGCUGUGUGUUGUUUUGUCUGUUCGAGGUAUUUUCCAACUGAGCAAAUUAUGAUUUGCUUAUAGCCAAUGCAAUAAUAAAGAGAAAGCAUAAUUUUUCCUUAGAGGUGAAAAUUGGGGUCCCAGUGCCAAGAUGAUGAGCGAGGCUCUUUACUCUUGCUCUCAAAGGAAAUCUGUCUGCAGAUUAGGGGUUGUAAGUUGAAACCCUCAUGCAUAUUUCAAGCCCUUUAGCUGAUAAUAUCUUGAUACAGUGUCCACAAACAUUUGUCUUGAGGAUCCAGAUAGCCUAGAAUAAGUCACCUGAUUCAGUUAUUAUUGUUAGUUGCUUGCUAUGAGUUUAUAAGGCAAAAAAAUGGGGGCAGGGGGAGAGGAAUAACUAACUGAGCACAAAGAACAUAACCGAAGGAGAGAUGGUGAAGACUUCUUAAACUCUGGUGCAAAUAUCCAGGGACUUUACACUCAAAAGGGCAAAGAGGCAGUUUUUGUGAUUGCUUAAAUAAAAUAACUUAUAAACAGGCUGGAGUGUCCAGGCAUCCUGAGUUUUAUCUUCAGGUUCUCAGUACAAUCCAUCAAGACCUUUCCCUUUUCCAUGACAUUCCUUUUGGCUUCUUCCAGUAUGCUGCAAAUGUCCUUCUCUUCUGCAGUCAUGGUCAACCUUCCAGAAACGUGAAAAUCUCAUAAGGACUGCAUGUUCUAAUUGCUCCUCUGUAUUUUACAGGCAUUGAGCCUUCAUGAUACUGUGUAUAAAGGUAGCAAGACAAAUUUCAAGCGCCCAAGUUGAUCCAACAUAUCUCACAUCAGAAUUAACGCCUUCAAACCUGCCAGAGCUGGUAAAUGUACAUCCUUUUAAGAAGAAGAAAUGUGGAGCUGCUCUGUCUCGUUUCUGACUUAAUACUCUAAUCACUGAAGUUGUAUAAGAGAACAGAACCACCUGUUUUGAAAGAAGGCAUUAGCACUAUUGAAUUUUGUAGAGAGCGUAAGUUUAAAUCAAACGUGCCCUCAGACAACUUGCUAGCAUUUCAGGUCAAUGGGAUGAACACAUUCAUCUUUUCUCUACUACAACACACUUUUGCAUCUUCUGAGAAGUGAUGGACAGAAUUUACUACCAAAAACUGAGGUAUGUAAUGAGUUUGGCACAAAGCAUGACAAACAAAAGUGGCUAACUGAUUUUGACCAAGGAUUUGGUUAGUAUCCUGAUCUUCUACUGCCUUAAGCUGUUGCUAAAGUAGGAGAAAAAAAGGCAAGUACAUCCAACACCACUUCCCAGAGUCUAAAUAUGUUUAGCUUGAAUGAUUUUCCGACCUUGUUGUGCUUUGCCUGUUCAACAGCCAUCAAUGUACUUUUCUUCCAAGUCCUUUUUUCACUCCUCCCUAAAAACUGCUUGCACUCAAAAUACCUUGUAGCAAGAAGUUCUACAUGUCUCUCACCCACUAAUGGAAAAGUACCUACUUUUGCAAAUUUUUAAUCUGUCUUUCAGAAGCCCUUUAUUUUUGUGCUUGAAGGGAGAGUGAAUAGAUUACCUGAAUUCACCUUCUCUUUGGUGCUCAAAAUUUGGUAUUUCUAACAUAUCCUCUCUAAAUCACCUUUUUUUUCAUAAAUGAAGAGUCUUAUCCAACUGAGUUGUUCUUAAAAGGGAAAAUAUUUUUUGCCACUGCCUUUGCUUUUCUGGCUUUCAAAUUGCAAAAUAACCUGAGAAGUGGAGACUGUUAUAAACUGCAAUAUUCAUGGUAUGGACAGGAGGACAAUAAGGAUCUUUCAUUUAUUUUUCUAUUUCUUUUUCAAUGAUUAAUUUGGUAUGUAUUUCUGGUUCCUAUUGAGUAUAGAGCUGCUAUUGCCAUGAGACUAUCUAGUAUUACCACAGGAUCUCAAACUUGAGUGGUAAUAGUCACCUCAGAGUUCAGCAUCUCUUUCUAUUUACGUGCAAUGGAUUUUUAUAUGCCAUUUUGUUAACCAGUCACUCGUCUUCAUAGUGUUCUCCUUAAUUAUUGUGUUCUCUCACUGUCACUGCUGUGAAUUAUUUUGUAUCAUCAGCAAAUAUUCCCAUCUCACUGCUUCCCAGGUCGUUAUGACUGUUUUGAACAGCAUAGGUUCCAAUACUGACCCCUUGAAAAACUUUACUGUGACCUCCCUCCUUGCCAGAAACCUAUAUUCCGAUCACCUAGUCAAAUUUUAAAACUAUUUGACUAGUCAGUUUAAAUUAUGAUUAACCUAUGUGGUGAAACUCCUGACAUCACUGCCUAAGUUCCUUAAAGGUUUUUGGGGAGGGAUGUUUCUAGAAGCAUCGGUGAAGUCCAUCAUGCUUUGUCAGCAAGAGCACUUCUACAAACAUUUGUCAACACCUGCAAAACCUGCAAUAAGCAAAUUUCUCCUUCAUAUUGACUCACUUCAGGUAGGUUAUAUUGAUUUAUGUAAUUGCACAUACAUGUCUACUAAAUUUGUUCUACGAAAUUUGUACGUCUUUUAAUUGAUUCUGAUAAUUUUCUUGGAGUUAUUCAGGGACUUUUCAAGGCUGAAUAUAAUGUGUGCACAUCAAUUUAAUCUUACUUUAGAUAUCAAAGACAUUUUUUCACCUCUAUCUCUGACUGCAGUUGAUUGAAUCUAAAAUUAGUGGAUCAGUCUAAUUUGAUCUGUCUGAUUUCUUUCUUUUUAUAUUCUUAAAAUCCUCUUUUGAAAACUACCGACUAAAGUAGAAUGAAGUAAUUCACACUGUAUUUUCUAACCAUAAUUAUUAUAUAGCCACAUAACCCUAACAAUGCCAAAUUUGAGAGUAAAAUAUAUUUUUGUCCAUAAGAUAAAAAUGCUUUGAAAAACAAGCACAGAAAAGUUAUCAGCAUUCUCUUUUCAAAAAAAACCCCACCUCUGAAAUCAAAGAAUAGCAGUAUUUUGUACUGACUUGUCGCUCAUCUCUAAUCCACAUCUAGUUCAUACAUAUUCUGGCCAGCAACAACAUAUGCAGUCUGUCCCUUUAUCAUGGCAGACACCAAACACAGCAUUUUAAGUAAGUGUUUAGACUACAAGCAAUUAUUUUUAGUCAGCUUCUUAAAAGCUCCUUAAUUUCACUGAACACCAUUGAUAAGCCUCCCAUAUGUCUACUGAUGCUGUUGCCAUGGCUUCUGACAUGAUGACAUCGGGAUAUUAAGACACCCAGAAAUAACAGUUUGGGGAGUGAUUUUCGGGUAGUAUAUCUAAUUAAUUGAUGCUCCUGUUUGUGAGAGGAAGCUACUUGUACUACAGACACAUGCUGAGUGGGAUUCCACACAGGCUUGCCAAUUCACCUGACUCAUAACCCAUGUCUGUUCCCAUCUUGGCAUCAAAAGGUUUGUGACAAACUGUGUGCUGAUCUGUGCAAGAGAUAUCUCUGAUAGCUGAAAUUAUGCUACAGCUACAAUGCUCAUUUUAUAUUACUUUGACCAAAAAUAGUCUAAGAGCAGAUUACACUCACUGACUGCACUGUUCAUAAGAAGAAUGAACAAUCUCAGACAAGUCUGACAUUACACCCUGGUGGUAAUGUUAAUAAUGGACAAUAUGCAUGAUUUAAGUAAAUUAUAUACAUAUUUUAAAAAGUAAUAACUGUUUGAACUCUGGUUAUUAAAGCUUGGAUUAAAAAAAAAAAAAAUCAGGUUUCCAGCUUUGAUAUUUUAGAUAGGUAGGGUGCCAGUCAGGAGUGUGAAAAGUCAUAAAAUAACCUCAUUGUAGAGGAAUCAAGAUAUAUUGUAAACCUAAGCAAGCUUAAGUCCUGUGAGACUUCUAAUCAUGAUUUAUGGAUGAAAUUGACCUGGAUGUAUUAGGAUGAAUGUACAAUUUUUCAUACUUUGCCCUAUGAAACUCAGCUUCAAAGUAUUUUAAGUUAAUGCAUCUCUAACUGGGAAACAAAAAAGUGAUUUUCUUUCUUGAGAUAAAUGGGGGGCACCAAACAAGACAGAAGAACCCUGAAUCCAUCUUCCAAAAUUGCCUUUAAUGCAUGUUCCAUCAAAAUAAAUACUCAUGUUAUAAAGAUUUGUUCCUUCUAUAUGUUCUUUCCACUGUAUUUCUAAAUAUUAUUGACAGGGUGACAGAAUGUCUAUCUUUCACCUUUUCUUUAAUAUUGAUAAAAAUUCCAUAAUGAAGUUUUGCAAAAAAAAAAAUCUCAUGCAGAAUUUUGCAUCAGAGAUCUAUCUGAGAAGUAAUGGCAAGACAUCCUUGUAACCACAUAGACAAGCUCUUCAAAUCCUAAAUGAUUCACUUCACAAACGUCUUCCUUGACUACUGGAUAAUUGCAUACCACUUAGAAAAGGCACUUCAAUGUAUCAACAAUGCUGGUGUUGACAUCUGCCAAGGUAAUUUUGAUGCAGUCUUCUCUAAUUACUCAUUUUCAUGAAACACAUAGACUUAAAGUGUGCCUUACUUUCCUUAGAGAUGGCAAUAAUGGAAACCUAACAGCAUCUUGAAAUGCUUCCAGUGUCAUGAUAGAAGUUAUUCAGGAAUUAAUAUAGGCAUCAAGGGAAAGAGACAGGAUACUACACCUGAAUUUCAACCAAGCUAGGAAUCCCUGGACUUUUGUGCAUGUAGGCUGAAUAUGGAUGCUAUUUAGCUGUCUCCUAAAUGUACAAAUGAUGUAUUUCCCAGAUAACAACAUCCAUCUUGAAAAUGGAGUCUCAGACUAGAUCUCUAGACAUCUUAGGAAGACCAAAUGAUUGAAGAGGUGAAUAAAGACACUAAAAAAAAAAAAAAACAAUCUUAAAGUUUAGUAUGUACUACUUCAGCAGAGAGCUCCAAAAUGCUUCUGAGACAGAUAAGCAAGGAUACAACUGACUUUUUCUGAAUGUACUGAAGCAGAUCUGGAACGUGACCAAACAGAUGCAGAAGCCAUGCUUAAAAUAUUUGAGAACAACUGACUGCUGAUCAGAUUGAUCUUUUCCACCUGUCAGCUAGUCAUCUACUUCUAUUAGACCUUGAUGAUUUACUUGAGUUUACAUGAUAAAAAAAAAAGUUUAAAAUAUGACUAUUUCUAAAGGAAUCAUCCUGACAGGGAGAUUAUCUUUAAAAAAUUCUUUGAUGAUUUAUCCUGAACUAAAAUUGGUUUUAGAUAUCAACUCAGCAAAAAUGGAAGGAGAAGGAGGGAGACAGAAAGGUCGAGUAAACAAACCACUCAGUAAAAGUAAUAUUCUGUGAAACAAAACUUUGAUAAUACAGAGAAUUGUAGCCAACCAGUUUGAAGAACUGAACAUUGUUAGAAAAUUGCGUCAUUUUCCUAUGAGUCAUAUAAUCCAGCUCAGCUUUACAGUUUCCUGUAUUAAAUAUAAUUUUGAGCAAUAAGGUGCUAGAAUGAAAAAAUAUAUAUAUAAUAGUUAGUGCAAUAUGGGAGGUUGUUGUUACCAAGAACACAGCUUUUCUUACCAAGAUACUGGUCAGCAACAUUUACCCUAUUAAAUCAAAGCAGACAGUUAGAUACACUCAUUUUAAAAAGUAUCAUUAUAAUCUGCUACUCUGAGUGGUACAAACAGCCAAAAUUCCAGAGACUAACAUCCAUAGUACAUUUUCCUCUGGUUUGUGUUUUAAAAGGUGAAAAUAUGAGGGGAAUGAAAGUACGGAAAGUAAAAUUCUUCCUUUGGUUUGUUCUGUACCUUUGAUAUAGCAACAUCCAGAAAAUGCCAGCUUUUGCCCUUUCGGUCAGCAACUGAGUCCAAGGACAGCACUCUACAAAUGGCAGCAUUUGUGCCACUGAAUCUGAAGCCAAGGACCUGUUAAGAUAUGCCAUUUCUUUUGCUUACCUAUGACUUAAGAGCAUCUAUUUCUUCAUCUGCUGAAAAGAAACAGUAUAAGACAGAGCAUUAGCUAAAGUAUGUUCCUUUGCUCUGCACAGAAGCAUGUUUUAUAGAAUUAAUGGUGGAUGACACUAUAGACUGUGAUAGUGAAUGUGAAGUAUUUUUCUCACAUCAGUACAACCAUGAAAGAAAAAUAUUGUUAUGCUUUUAUAACCUGUCCAGUUAGUGUGUGUAUAAAUUGUAAUGGUUUACAAUACUUGGGCACCCACAAACACAUACAACCUAAAUGUCAUCUUCACAAUAUUAUCCCACAAUUUAAAAUACUUAUUUCCUCUGAAUCCCUCUUUAUUUGAUUUACCUCCUGCACAUUUCUUUUUAUGAUUAGCUGUAGCAAAAAUAAAUCUGGAGUAGUAAAGAAAACAUUUUGCUGCAGCAUAUUAAUUGUUUCUGACACCUUCUGUCUGAAGCGGAUGGACGAUCUCAAAGCAACUGAAGAGUUUAUAGGAGAGACUCUUCUCUAGCACACAAUGAAGACACUUCACUUUUCAAUGCUGAAAAUGAUGAUCUCAGAAGAUAUAGAUAAGGGAAUCAUUAACAGUAUAGUGAAAAGAAUGCUUACUUCACUUUAUUUCUGGUAUCUAACUCUUGUCCAUGUUCACUGAAAAGAAAUUCUAGUGAAAAUAUUACCAAAUAUAAUCAAAAUGUCAUUGCAUGCUCGUACUAAUGAUUAUCCCAUUGUUUUGAAAAUAUUUGAACACAAAUCCACAUUAUUGGCUUAUUUAAUUUAUUACACACUGUAUGAGAAGAGAGAGUAGUGUGUUUUCUGGAGAGCCACAGGCUAAAACAUAUUUACACAAAUCAUCUGUCAAAUGCUUAACUAAUAAUCAUUUACACUCGAAAACACUGCCAUUGAUUCCUCAAUUUGUGGAAAGAAGAAGUAGAGAAUUACUUGAGCAAUGGGUUUGCAAUUACUCCAUUGUCCCCUGCUAUACAGCAGUGUUGCCAGCUGCUCUCCAGCUCCAGGAAUUUAGUAAUGGUGAUUGCGUAAAAGCAAAGAAAAAAAAAUGUUUGUUUGAACAAAUGUGGUUGAGUCGGCAUGAAUGGCAUUUAGAAAGAAACUUCAGAUGCCAGCCUUGGAUGUUGUGCCAAGUUCCAACAACUCAAAGAAGGCCUCCUGCAGGUGAAGGUUUGGCUUUUGGCUUGUCCAGCAGCUUCAAGAAGCUGCUGCAGUGAGACAGUGGCAUGUCAGCUAUAGCUGGCAUGGAGGAAAAUGUGUUUCCUAUAAGCUUCAUUGAACUCUUUAAAAAAACACACCCACUCGCGCAAAUCUAGAUUACCCUCCCAAUUAAUAUGGAAUAUAGCCUGCACAGCAGUUCUUCAAGCAUACAGCAUUAAUCCCACAGAUUAGAAAGGGAUAGGAAAUUAAGAACAGAUGUUUCAUCGCAGUGCUGUGCUAAUGAUGACUGAAUUAGUGCCAAGAGAACUAAUAUAUCCACAGGAUAUCCAAUACUGCCAAGCCUGAAUUCUCAAUUACCUUAUACAUGACAUUAUGCUUCCAGAUCCAAAACCAUCUUAUUCAGAGCUCUGGGAUUUCUUAACAGCAGUGCAUUGCACUUUAUGGACAUCUCUAGUGUCUCUUGAGAUUACUGUCUGUUUCCCUCAUUCCACCAUCUGCGCUGUGCAUGGUCUGCUACAUCAGGGAACAUUUCAGCAAGCAAGGUCUACUCUGACUGAGCUGAUUGCUGAGACUCAUGCAUUGUCCUCUGCACUGCACCUCUCACAGAACAUCCCAGGUAAAAGGGACCGACGGUGCUCUCUCCCAGGAAAUCCUUGGUGCCAGCAUCCACCCAUGAAACCCAUCAAAGCUAGACAUUGGGAGCAGCUCUCUGGCUCACAUUUCAGACUUGUGGGGGGUCACUGUUUAAGGGUGUGUGGCACACUAUGAGAUGCAAGCAGAACAUUUUAAAAGCAGCUUUGCAGGAAAAGACUUGGUUCCUUUGCCCAGCAAGCUGAACAUCAGCUAAUAAUGUGACCUUGCAGUGAAGGUGGCAAACAGUACAUGCUGGGCUCCAGCAUUAUGAGGAGUGCUUCCAGAAGAUCGAAUGAAGUCAUCUUUUCCUUUACUCAGCCCUGGCAAGGCCACACAAUGGAGUACUGGGUCCAGUUCUGGGCUUCUCACUACAGGAGAAACAUGGACAUGCUGGAGACAGCCUAGCAAGGGACCACAAAGGUGACUAAGGGACUGGAACAUCUCUCCAACGAGGAAAGGCUGAGAGAGCUGGGACUGUUCAGCCUGGAGAAAGGCUCAGGGGGGAUGUCAUCAUUGUAUAUAAAUAUCUCAAGGGAAUAUGCAGAGAACAGAUUCAGUGUGGUUUCAGUGCUGCUCAGUGACAGGACCAGAAGACAACACAGGAGGUUCUCUUUGAACAACAGCAAACAUUUGCUCAUUCUGAGGCUGAUGGAGCAUAACAACAGGUUGUGUACAGAGAGCUUGUGGAGUCUCCCCCUCUGGAGAUAAUAAAAUGUCAUCUGGACAUGGUCCUGUGCAGAUGGAUUGAAAUGUCCCUGCUUAAGCAAGGGGAUUAGAACAGAUGCCCUCCAGAGGUCCCUCCCUACCUCAACCAUUCUGUGAUUCCCUGAAUUGGAGCAGAGCUGCAGCCUUGGGGUUUCUAUGCCCAGGUCCUCAUAACUGGUGAGAAUGAGAUCCUGGAGCAGCUGCUGGGCAGACUAAGCAUGUGUGCCUUGCUACUGGAAGGAAUCACAGUCCUUAUAUAUAAUAUUUAUACUACUAGAGACGACCUCUACACUGCUCAGCCAGAGAAGGGAACAGGAUGAAGCCGUUGGUGCUGUUUGUGUUCAUGUCUGUCUGUACUCUGAGUGGCAGGCCCUGUAUGUACAGGUGUGUGGUGUAUCCAGGUGCUCCAUGUGCUUCUGCAUACUGUGAAAACAUUUUCAGACUUGCUACCUGUUGGACCUGGGGACACUACAGGAGCCUCACCUCCGUUGGGCUGUCAGAUACAGCAUAAUAUAUUUUCCUCUGACAGAACUAGUUAAAGUAAAAAAUGUUAAUUUUGUAGCUUCCUUUUACCUUCUGAAUCUUUGACUUAAGUCAGCGUUAGGUUUUUUUUCCAUCCUACUUCAUCCAUUCUGUAAAGUUAUAAAGUUGGUAAAAGGUAACAACAGCUCUGCUCAG